rnacentral:rRNA from 1 species
GACGAACGCUGGCGGCGUGCUUAACACAUGCAAGUCGAACGGCAGCAUAGGUGCUUGCACCUGAUGGCGAGUGGCGAACGGGUGAGUAAUACAUCGGAACGUGCCCAGUCGUGGGGGAUAACGUUGCGAAAGUUACGCUAAUACCGCAUACGAUCUAAGGAUGAAAGCGGGGGACCGUAAGGCCUCGCGCGAUUGGAGCGGCCGAUGUCAGAUUAGGUAGUUGGUGAGGUAAAGGCUCACCAAGCCGACGAUCUGUAGCUGGUCUGAGAGGACGACCAGCCACACUGGGACUGAGACACGGCCCAGACUCCUACGGGAGGCAGCAGUGGGGAAUUUUGGACAAUGGACGCAAGUCUGAUUCAGCCAUUCCGCGUGCAGGACGAAGGCCUUCGGGUUGUAAACUGCUUUUGUACGGAACGAAAAAGCUCUUACUAAUACUAGGAGUCCAUGACGGUACCGUAAGAAUAAGCACCGGCUAACUACGUGCCAGCCGCCGCGGUAA